GUGCUCACUUCGGCAGCACAUAUGCUAAAAUCAAAAUCAUACAGAGAAGAUUAGCAUGUACCCUGCACAAGGAUGGCACACAAGUUCAUGAAGCAUUUCAUAUUUUU
rnacentral:snRNA from 1 species